AGCCAUAAAAAAAUUGAUAACAAGAUAUUAAAAAAGAUUUUACGCUAUUUUGAGAAAGAUGUGAAUUUUUCUCUCCAUAAUACUUGACUGAAGCUUUUUUGUUGUUUUUUUCAUCAUGUGGAAAGAUGAGCGUACGUGGUGUGGACUCUGUACAUUAUGCCUAAAUUCAUAUUCCAUUUUGUGAGAGGAAGUUGAUUCAAGCAACAAUAUGGAAUCUAUAUUUUGUUCAGGUGAGCUUACGUGGUGUGGACUCUGUACAUUUUACCUAAAUUCAUAUUCCAUUUUGCGAGAGGAAGUUGAUUCAAGUCACAAUGAGGAAUCUAUAUUUUGUUCAGGUGCUGUGUAAGCGGUAAAAUCGUUAUUCUAGUACUUCAAAAUGGAUAUAGUUGGCCAGGAUUUUUUAUUCAGUCCGUGAUCUAUUUUGUUGUAAAACAAUGUUUGAAGCUGAAAAUUGGCUUAUUUAUUUUAUUAAAGUAAUUUGAUUAAGUAGAAUCGCAAUAAAAGUAAUGAAAUUGUUAAAAUAUACGUAUCAGCAUUAAA